UCUCCGUAGGUGAACCUGCGGAGGGAUCAUUACUGAGUGAGGGCUCCGGCCCGACCUCCAACCCCAUGUGAACCGAAACCUGUUGCUUCGGGGGCGACCCUGCCGUUCGGCGCGGCGCCCCCGGAGGCUCAUCAAACACUGCAUCUCUGCGUCGGAGUAUUAGUAAAUCUAAUCAAAACUUUCAACAACGGAUCUCUUGGUUCUGGCAUCGAUGAAGAACGCAGC
rnacentral:misc_RNA from 1 species